rnacentral:tRNA from 1 species
GAGCCCGUGGUUUAAUGGUAGAAUGGCGCAUUGACAUUGCGUCGAAAGGAGUUCGAUUCUCCUCGGGCUCA